CAAGGCUGAAGUCGCGAACCCAAGAAGAGACUCUUGCCGGGGUCGCUCGUGUUCAAGAGGCUCAGGAGCUUUCCUUGUACAAAUAAAGAAAACUGCAACAAGUGGUCUUCAUAAUCAUAUCAUACUCGGAGGUGUUUGUGCUUUUACAAUGGCGGCUGCUACCUAAUUGCACUUGGAUUUUGCGUUUAGAGAAGAGAAGCUUUUUGUGGAGUCAUUAAAUCUCUAGAUGGUGGAGUUCAGUUUGGGAGAAAAUGGUUGGAAUAUCUUCAGCACUGGACAAUAAUGGUGUAUUUUCAUCAGUUAAAGGGUAUUCAUUUUUUGCAAUAAGGAAUAAAAAGUGGUGUGACGAAUAGUAUGUUAUGUGCUUUGUUGACUGCUAAAUCGUGGUCCUUGAAUGGUUAAGCAGUACUGACUUGUAUUACAUUUCUGAUGUGGGUACAGUUGCUGUUCUGUUUUUGCUAUUACAGGGCAUACCAUGUAACACAUAGUUUGGCCAGGAGAGCCAUUAUUUCUCAAUUCUCAUGAUGAUAAUAUUGAGUGAAUGCUCAAUUUUGUAAGCGUCAGACAAGUUACUCCUUAGAAGAAGGAAAUACCCACGGUGUCCGUGGUUGUGUCAAAUGUCGGUCAAGUUAGUCCCUACAAGGAUUAACUUGACUGACGUUUUAUCUGAUCAUAGAGACUAAUUUGACCGACAUUUAACAGAAUUAGGGAACACGGGAGUAUUUCUUUUUUUCUACUGACUAACUUGUCCGAUGCUUAAACUUUUAGGGAUAAAAUUGAGCAUUUACUCAUAAUAUCUGUCCAACAUCCUUUGCAAAAGAGGAAUCUGUUGCACACAGUUUCUUUGAGUGUUCUUUUCUCAAGUAUAUGGAUGUUCUGUUUUAGAUGGUUUGGAAUAUCUUUCAGUUGGUCAAUAACUGGAUGGUGCAUUUUCAUCAGUUUAAGGAUAUUCAUUUUUGCAAUAAGGAAUAAAAAGAGGU